rnacentral:rRNA from 1 species
GACGAACGCUGGCGGUGUGCUUAACACAUGCAAGUCGAACGGUAAGGCCCUUUCGGGGGUACACGAGUGGCGAACGGGUGAGUAACACGUGAGUAACCUGCCCUCAUCUCUGGGAUAACAGUCGGAAACGGUUGCUAAUACUGGAUAUGAGCUUGCAAGGCAUCUUGUGGGUUGGAAAGAUUUUUUUGGUUGGGGAUGGACUCGCGGCCUAUCAGCUUGUUGGUGAGGUAGUGGCUCACCAAGGCUUCGACGGGUAGCCGGCCUGAGAGGGCGACCGGCCACAUUGGGACUGAGAUACGGCCCAAACUCCUACGGGAGGCAGCAGUGGGGAGUAUUGCACAAUGGACGGAAGUCUGAUGCAGCAACGCCGCGUGCGGGAUGACGGCCUUCGGGUUGUAAACCGCUUUCAAUUGUGACGAAGCUUUUUGUGACGGUAGCAGUAGAAGAAGCACCGGCUAACUACGUG